rnacentral:rRNA from 1 species
GUCUAAGUAUAAGCAACUAUACGGUGAAACUGCGAAUGGCUCAUUACAUCAGUUAUCGUUUAUUUGAUAGUACCUUACUACAUGGAUAACCGUGGUAAUUCUAGAGCUAAUACAUGCUAAAAACCUCGACUUCGGAAGGGGUGUAUUUAUUAGAUAAAAAACCAAUGCCCUUCGGGGCUCCUUGGUGAAUCAUAAUAACUUAACGAAUCGCAUGGCCUUGCGCCGGCGAUGGUUCAUUCAAAUUUCUGCCCUAUCAACUUUCGAUGGUAGGAUAGUGGCCUACCAUGGUAUCAACGGGUAACGGGGAAUUAGGGUUCGAUUCCGGAGAGGGAGCCUGAGAAACGGCUACCACAUCCAAGGAAGGCAGCAGGCGCGCAAAUUACCCAAUCCCGACACGGGGAGGUAGUGACAAUAAAUACUGAUACAGGGCUCUUUUGGGUCUUGUAAUUGGAAUGAGUACAAUUUAAAUCCCUUAACGAGGAACAAUUGGAGGGCAAGUCUGGUGCCAGCAGCCGCGGUAAUUCCAGCUCCAAUAGCGUAUAUUAAAGUUGUUGCAGUUAAAAAGCUCGUAGUUGAACCUUGGGCCUGGCUGGCCGGUCCGCCUCACCGCGUGUACUGGUCCGGCCGGGCCUUUCCUUCUGGGGAGCCGCAUGCCCUUCACUGGGCGUGCCGGGGAACCAGGACUUUUACUUUGAAAAAAUUAGAGUGUUCAAAGCAGGCCUUUGCUCGAAUACAUUAGCAUGGAAUAAUAGAAUAGGACGUCGCGGUCCUAUUUUGUUGGUUUCUAGGACCGCCGUAAUGAUUAAUAGGGAUAGUCGGGGGCAUCCGUAUUCAAUUGUCAGAGGUGAAAUUCUUGGAUUUAUUGAAGACGAACUACUGCGAAAGCAUUUGCCAAGGAUGUUUUCAUUAAUCAGUGAACGAAAGUUAGGGGAUCGAAGACGAUCAGAUACCGUCGUAGUCUUAACCAUAAACUAUGCCGACUAGGGAUCGGUGGAUGUUUCUAUAUUGACUCCAUCGGCACCUUACGAGAAAUCAAAGUUUUUGGGUUCUGGGGGGAGUAUGUCGCAAG